rnacentral:lncRNA from 1 species
GAGAGCUUUGAGGGCCCCUCGGCCAGUGUUCCAGACCUGGAGGGCGCGUUAUUCCUCAAAGAGAGUGUGAAGAAGACUUGGAAACGGCGUUACUUCAUACUGCGAGCCUCUGGGAUCUAUUAUGUGCAAAAAGGAAAGACUAAGGUCAGAAACAACCCCAGUUAAGACUGAGUGCUGAGUGCUAUUGUGUCCAGCUGACAUUACACUGCCCAUGUAGAAUCUGUUAUGAACUCACACACACCACAUGCCGGGCAUUUAAAUAGGACUUUUCAAAACAGGGAAUCUUGGACAGAAAUGAUAGGAUUGUGUGUGUGUGUGUUUGUGUUUGUGUUUGUGUGUGUGGAUUUCAUCGCAUGCUGAAGAUAAUUCAAUGACGCAGACUAUUUAUCACCACCUGGGUCAGGAUUGCUGUGGCCUGAGAAUACAACUGAACCAUGAAAUCCAAUAGCAAGUGGGGUAGAGGACAUGUCUCAAGUGCUGUAAAUCUUUGAGGGAAAAUAUGCUCUUAGAGUGUGCACUGGGGAGGGAGGGGGGGGGGGGGUUGUUAGCAUAAGAUGUCUUCUCAGUCGAUCCCCAGAGUGUACAAACGAUAUAUGUGAAUUCCUUUGGCAGUUAUCCAGUGACCUGGCGUGCUUCAUUCAGUUGGAGCAUGUGAACGUGUACCACAGCCAGGAGUACAAACACAAGUACAGAGCCCCCACUGACUUCUGCUUCGUCCUCAAGCACCCUCAGAUCCAAAUGGAGUCGGAGUACGUCCGCAUCCUCUGCUGUGACGACGAGCGCAGUCUGAGUCUCUGGGUGACCUCCAUCAGAAUCGCCAAGUAUGGGCCGCAGCUGUACAGGAACUACCAGACAGCACUGCAGAGGGCUUCAGUUUCCACGCCAGGAAACAGCCAGCUCACACGAUUCACCACACCCAGCACCACUGUGCUCAAAGUAGCGGCACAGUCCAAUGGAAACCAUGCAGUGACACCUGCCUCUUCCCAGAGAGACUCCAUUCCCCCAGGACCUGACCAGACACAGGCAUCAGAACACCAGACACGGGUAUCAGAACACCAGACACGGGUUCAAGGACAACCAGGCGACCAGCAAGCCGUCACACAGAGAGAGACUCCCAGCCC